rnacentral:lncRNA from 1 species
GCAUGUUUUUAUUCUACAUUGGAAUGUUCUCCCUGAACUAAUACAAAUUUACUGAUAGAAUAAGCUAGCAUUAUUUUGACUUCAUGUUUAAAAUUAUUAAAACUGUAAACUUGUGCUUAACCAGAUUUAAUUAUUAUUCUAACUUUAUUUCAGCAGUAAUUAUAUUUUGUAGUAUGUCAGUUUCAAAAUUGUUUUCCAGAUUUUUAGUUAACUUAAAAUCUUGAAUUUAUUCAAGUUGACUUAAUUAAUGUAUAUUCAUUAGAUGCCUAGAUCCUAAGUAAGAUAGAAUACUCAACAAUUAAUUACAAAACAAAAUUUAUGUGUAAAUGCUUUUUUGCCUUUUAUUUUAUGUGCUAUAGGGAGACUACAUAUCUGUGGGUCUGCCAACAAAUGUGUUCAUUUUUGCCAUGUGGAGAAGUUGUACUAUAAAGGAUGUGAGUUGCUAUAGAGAGUUGUGAGGUAUUUAUUCAGGAGCUCUGAUACUCUGCUGCAAAUGCUGGUGUGUAACAGACAGUUUAUAUUACACACCUCACAAUUUUCUCUGUGAAGUACCAUGACUGUGGUUAAAAGUUAUAAUCACCAUAGGUGACUAAGACUCUAGUAGCAGCAAUGGUGGCAAAGAGUAAUAACUUUGUAUGCAAGGUAAUCAGGAUGUAUUAAGGAAAAAAGAGUAGUUUCUAAAAUAACAUAACUGAUUGUUUAGAAUGAGGAAGAUGAAAGUGCAGAAAAUCUGAAUAUAUAAGUUGAAGAAAGUUUACAGAAAGGUAAUUUUGUUUGGGUCAAAGCUGGCUAUGAUUUGAUUUUUCAAAGUAAGAUGGUUUAAAAAACUAUAGGUGAAAUUAUUGAUGCGGAGCUGUGAUGUCUGCAUUAUCAAGCAAUAAUUUUGAAAACUAAAGCUGUAAUUUGGUUUUCUCUUUGUUUAAAUGACAGGAUUUCCUUGGAUUCUUUGGAUUGUUGGUCUGCUCUUAGUAAAAAGUUAUAGAUGGUUAUUCUUUACCUUCUGCAUAGUCUUCCUGGAAACAGCAAGAAGUCCGCUCACCAAGAAGAGGACCCUCACCAGACACUGGAUUUACUGGCAUCUUGAUCUUGGAUUUUCUAGCCUCUAUAACUGUGAG